UACGUAGUGGGCUAGCGUUAUCCGGAAUUACUGGGCGUAAAGGGUGCGUAGGUGGUUUCUUAAGUCAGAGGUGAAAGGCUACGGCUCAACCGUAGUAAGCCUUUGAAACUGGGAAACUUGAGUGCAGGAGAGGAGAGUGGAGUUCCUAGUGUAGCGGUGAAAUGCGUAGAUAUUAGGAGGAACACCAGUUGCGAAGGCGGCUCUCUGGACUGUAACUGACACUGAGGCACGAAAGCGUGGGGAGCAAACAGGAUUAGAUACCCUGGUAGUCCCUGA
rnacentral:rRNA from 1 species